rnacentral:rRNA from 1 species
UACGUAGGGUCCAAGCGUUGUCCGGAAUUAUUGGGCGUAAAGAGCUCGUAGGCGGUCCGUUAAGUCGGAAGUGAAAUCUCAAGGCUCAACCUUGAAAUCGCUCUCGAUACUGGCGGACUUGAGGCAGGUAGGGGAAGGUGGAAUUCCUGGUGUAGCGGUGAAAUGCGCAGAUAUCAGGAGGAACACCGGUGGCGAAGGCGGCCUUCUGGGCCUGUUCUGACGCUGAGGAGCGAAAGCGUGGGGAGCGAACAGG